rnacentral:rRNA from 1 species
UACGGAGGGUGCGAGCGUUGUCCGGAAUCAUUGGGCGUAAAGGGCGCGUAGGUGGCCCGGUCAGUCCGUGGUGAAAGCGCGGGGCUCAACCCCGCGUCGGCCAUGGAUACUGCUGGGCUGGAGCACUGUAGAGGCAGGCGGAAUUCCGGGUGUAGCGGUGGAAUGCGUAGAGAUCCGGAAGAACACCGGUGGCGAAGGCGGCCUGCUGGGCAGCUGCUGACACUGGGGCGCGACAGCGUGGGGAGCAAACAGG